AGAUUGAGCGCUGGCGGCAGGCCUAACACAUGCAAGUCGAGCGGCAGCACGGGUACUUGUACCUGGUGGCGAGCGGCGGACGGGUGAGUAAUGCCUAGGAAUCUGCCUGGUAGUGGGGGAUAACGCUCGGAAACGGACGCUAAUACCGCAUACGUCCUACGGGAGAAAGCAGGGGACCUUCGGGCCUUGCGCUAUCAGAUGAGCCUAGGUCGGAUUAGCUAGUUGGUGGGUAAUGGCUCACCAAGGCGACGAUCCGUAACUGGUCUGGAGAGGAUGAUCGGUCACACUGGAACUGAGACACGGUCCAGACUCCGUACGGGAGCAGCAGGUGGGAAUAUUGGACAAGUGGGACGAAAGCCUAGACUCCAGCCAUCGGCCGCGUGUGAGAAG
rnacentral:rRNA from 1 species